CGAAGAACCUUACCAGGCCUUGACAUGCAGACGAACUUCCAGAGAUGGAUUGGUGCCUUCGGGAACUCUGACACAGGUGCUGCAUGGCUGUCGUCAGCUCGUGUCGUGAGAUGUUGGGUUAAGUCCCGUAACGAGCGCAACCCUUGUCCUUAGUUACCAGCACGUUAUGGUGGGCACUCUAAGGAGACUGCCGGUGACAAACCGGAGGAAGGUGGGGGUGACGUCAAGUCAUCAUGGCCCUUACGGCCUGGGCUACACACGUGCUACAAUGGUCGGUACAAAGGGUUGCCAAGCCGCGAGGUGGAGCUAAUCCCAUAAAACCGAUCGUAGUCCGGAUCGCAGUCUGCAACUCGACUGCGUGAAGUCGGAAUCGCUAGUAAUCGUGAAUCAGAAUGUCACGGUGAAUACGUUCCCGGGCCUU
rnacentral:rRNA from 1 species